UUCAUAUCAAGUAAGUUCAAAAUGAGUCACAAUAUAGCAGUAUCUAAGCAAAUAUGCUUUGUGAUGGUCAACAUCAAGUUGGAAGAGUCUCCUUCCUUCUUAAUAAUCAUUUAACUUCCCCCAAUUAACAGGGCUUUGGUGACAAUGACCAGCUGGAACCUCUACAUGAUGAUUUCCGCUAUCUGUGUCCCGAGAACGGGAGGAAGGGUACAGUCCAGGGAAAGAGUGUGCUGGGCAUCCAGAAGCACAGUAUGCAGCGCAAGCUCCUGCUUUCCAUUCACGUGCGGGGACGGGAAGUGAGAAGUGGAAGUGGGUAGAGGGAUUCCUCCAGAAUGGAGACACCCAAAGACCAUCCGUACAACAUCAUGGUACCUCAAGGAAACUCUUAUGUCUGGAAAUCUUUCCUUCACACCUCCAUUCCUAUCACCAUUUUUCAUGGGUCUAUUACCUCAUUUUUCCUUCUCCCUGUGCAAUGAUAAUGAUGUUAUACAAGAAGGAUGCAAGAUGUCUCCAAAAUGGCACCUUUGGAUAAAAGAUCUAACCAAAAUGACACCUUUUUGGAUAAAAGAUCUAACCUUACUUCCAAAGAGAUAUAACCCCUGUUUUUAAGGAACACAUAGCCUGAUGGAAUCUUCAUUGAGUGUCCUCAUG